rnacentral:rRNA from 1 species
AGUGAACGCUGGCGGUAGGCCUAACACAUGCAAGUCGAACGGCAGCACAGUAAGAGCUUGCUCUUACGGGUGGCGAGUGGCGGACGGGUGAGGAAUACAUCGGAAUCUACUUUUUCGUGGGGGAUAACGUAGGGAAACUUACGCUAAUACCGCAUACGACCUACGGGUGAAAGCAGGGGAGCUUCGGACCUUGCGCGAUUGAAUGAGCCGAUGUCGGAUUAGCUAAUUGGCGGGGUAAAGGCCCACCAAGGCGACGAUCCGUAGCUGGUCUGAGAGGAUGAUCAGCCAAACUGGAACUGAGACACGGUUCAGACUCCUACGGGAGGCAGCAGUGGGGAAUAUUGGACAAUGGGCGCAAGCCUGAUCCAGCCAUACCGCGUGGGUGAAGAAGGCCUUCGGGUUGUAAAGCCCUUUUGUUGGGAAAGAAAAGCAGCAGGUUAAUACCCCGCUGUUCUGACGGUACCCAAAGAAUAAGCACCGGCUAACUUCGUG